rnacentral:rRNA from 1 species
AGUCACCGACAUUAGAUACCCGGGUAGUCCCAGCCGUAAACGAUGCGCGUUAGGUGUAUCGACGAUCACGAGUCGUCGAGGUGCCGAAGGGAAACCGUGAAACGUGCCGCCUGGGAAGUACGGUCGCAAGGCUGAAACUUAAAGGAAUUGGCGGGGGAGCACCACAACAGGUGGAGCCUGCGGUUUAAUUGGACUCAACGCCGGAAAUCUCACCGGAUAAGACAGCAGAAUGAUUGCCGGGCUGAAGACUCUGCAUGACUAGCUG